GGAGCAGGCUGCGGGGUCGCUCGGAGGGUUUAGUCCUCCGAGAGGAAAGUCCGGGCUCCACAGGGCAGGGAGCUGGCGUUAAGCCAGGUGAGGGUAACCUCACGGAUAGGGCCACAGAAAACAUACCGCCACCUAUAAGGUGGUAAGGGUGAAAAGGUGGUGUAAGAGACCACCGCUCUUUCCCGUGAGGGAAAGAGGCACGGUAACCCCCUCCCGGAGCAAGGCUAAAUAGGCUGGCGUUUGAGGGUUGCCCGUCCGAAGCCAGCGGGUAAGCCGCAUAAGAUAAAUGACCCCUUUAAACAGAACCCGGCUUACACGCCUGCUCCAUAA
rnacentral:RNase_P_RNA from 2 species